UAGGGAAUCUUCCGCAAUGGACGCAAGUCUGACGGAGCAACGCCGCGUGAGUGAAGAAGGAUUUCGGUUCGUAAAACUCUGUUGUUAGAGAAGAACAGCGCAUAGAGUAACUGUUAUGCGUGUGACGGUAUCUAACCAGAAAGCCACGGCUAACUACGUGCCAGCAGCCGCGGUAAUACGUAGGUGGCAAGCGUUGUCCGGAUUUAUUGGGCGUAAAGCGAGCGCAGGCGGUCAAUUAAGUCUGAUGUGAAAGCCCCCGGCUCAACCGGGGAGGGUCAUUGGAAACUGGUUGACUUGAGUGCAGAAGAGGAGAGUGGAAUUCCAUGUGUAGCGGUGAAAUGCGUAGAUAUAUGGAGGAACACCAGUGGCGAAAGCGGCUCUCUGGUCUGUAACUGACGCUGAGGCUCGAAUGCGUGGGGAGCGAACAGG
rnacentral:rRNA from 1 species